CACAAUUAAGUAGGAGGUCAGUUACUAUAAGCAUUUUAAUUGAAUUGUAGCUAGCAUUAAACGAGUUGAACUUUGGAUUAUAAAAGCUGGGAAGUUCCCAACGCAUUUGGAGAAAUAUUAACUGCUAUUAUCUCAGAAUCGUUAAGAACGCACAUGAUGUCACAUAACAGCAAACCAUAAAACUAAUAUAAAAAUCUUGGCAAAGAUCGUUGACAGUGAAUCGCAUACCCUUGCUAAUCGAGCUUAUACAAUAUUGAUGUUUUCGGGUUCAGCGGGCUAUCUCAACCGAUUGCUGAUCUACGCGAUGCCCGCGGCUUUUGCGUCAUUGUGUCAUCCAAAGGGUCAAGUGGAGCUCUUGGCAGUGUUAUUGUUGUUAGCCAAACGAGCCAUUUCCCGGCUCGUUUAUGGGGGGAAAUGACGUAGGAACCUUGAGUGGUUCGAAAGUGUUUGUCUUGUUCCAUGUGCCACUCGACCCCCAACACAGUUUAUGGCGCUGAUAAGCCACUAUUGAGUUAUGGAGCCCACCAUAUGGUACAACUUGAGCUCCUCAAUGGGGAUACUAAAAUAGGUUGUUUCAUAAUGGGAGAACUUGUUCUAGUUGAUUCGGAAAUCAGAAGCACGGUUUUCAAGUUCGUAAAUAGAUUUACAUAUGGAUUAAUGUCAAGAAACAGAAAAGUUCAUCAACAUUUGAUUGAGAUAUAAUAGAAUGAACUGUAAGUUAUGUUGGGUUGUAAAGUGUUUGGUGGCGCAAUCAUUGGUAUAUAAGUUCUUUAAUUCUUUAUCUUUAUUGUAUGUAUUUAUGGAACCUAUUUGUAAACCUAUGCUCUCACAUUGUACCCAUAAAAAUAGUAGUUUCGCGUGCGCCAUGUGCCUUGUGCCUUGUUGAUAAGAAAUCAAGUUCCCCGCAGUGCCACACGAACGUACUUUCCAAAUAUUUUGAUUAGAUGCAUGCCGAACGGCCUACAGCAGUGAUAAUGAUAAGGUUAUUCGAAACACUAGUGUUAUGUUCAUAAGGUCGCCAUAAUUGUGUAUUCCACAAAUUGACGUAAAGCGAAAAUCAGGCCAUCAGACAAGAUGAAACGCGGAAUAGCGAAAGCUAAGGUUGGGAUCCUAAGCCCCGGAAUUAUGUCACACGUCUAUUCUGUAUAAUCGCGGAAAAACCAUAGUUAGAAAACAAGUCACAUAACGAUCGCUUAUCAGUUAAACUAUUUAAAGCUGCUACGACAUUGAACACCACUAUUGUUCUGGAUGGAGUUUGGAACCACCAAGAACCCAUGGAGCACACGAAACUCGCGGGGGUUCCAAUUCCCGGUCUUGUAUCAAAUUUGUUUUCGCCAUUCCGCUUUUGAUUGCCAGCAACAAUAACAAACUAGAGAGGAAAGUGCUGGCAAACAGCAGCUGCGUGUAUAAAUGAGCUUUAUUUAUCAACGGAAACGGAAUCAGAAGAGUGGGCGUGGCCCCUGUGGGUUAAGCCAACUCGUUAAGCACCUUUCAACCUUUGAAGCGAAGUACACUAGCGGGUAGAACUGCACCUCAGCUCUAUUAAAAUGAUAUUAGGAUGAAAGUGAUGGAUUUAAUGACCCAUUGCACUGCAAUAUAAUUACAGAUGAUGGACUUGCAACUCAAAAAUGACUCCCUAAUUGGGUGAAAUAUAAUGAUGCUAUUAGAAAUCCCAAGUAA